AGGGCCGAGGAGGUGGGGCGGAGGGCCGAGGAGGGCGGGCCCAGGGCCGAGGAGGCGGGGCCGUGGUCGGUAGCCCCGCCCCGUAACUGAUGGCCGACUGAGGGGAUGGGUGGGUGUUGUCCGGCUCAGCAGCUGGGGUUAUGGCUCGGCGACAGGGUCACGGAGCAGCGCGGCAUUGUGGGAGGCCCCGGGGCCGGUGGGCCGAGCCUGUAAUCUUUCUUGCCUCCAGCAGCUCACUGGCUUCGGGGUCCGCCCGUUAGAGACCCUCCAGCUGCCCCCGCUGCUCUGCUGGCAGAAGGCACGGCCUGGCCUACUCCCAGGGCUGCUCUGAAUGGCUUUUCCUUUGCAGUAACUGAUUAGCUGUCCACUACGGCAACCAGUUAUGACUGCCGCAAGUGAGGAGAAAUAGAAAUGAAGAGAAGGAAUCAGAUGUAACAAAGGUCUCACUGGAAAGGCUGAGGCGGGAGGAUUGCCACAAGUUUGAAAGAGUGUUGGGCUGCUUGUCCACCCUUAGCAACAGGCAUUGUCAGACCACAAAGAGGGAAUCAUAUUCAGUUAAAGAGCUGAGAGAAUAGGGCAGGAGUUGGAGCGAGUAGGGCGGGGAUUUUGCCGUAAGUUCAAGGCCAGCCUAGGCUGCAUACUUUGGUUCCAGGACAAUAUAGGUUACAGAAUGAGACUGUCAAAAAAGAGAAAGAAAUCUUGCAUUCUCCAAGGACUAGUUUGAAUUGCUUUUCCUCUGAGUAGCUGUGAUUCAGCCUCCCCAACCCCCCUUAGUAGCAAGCAAUGAUAGAGGUAACAGACAAGAAAAAAAAAGGAAAGAAAAGAAAAAAAAAAACAAAACAGCAAAUGAAUCAGAGGUGAGUAACCGAAGUUUAGAAAGAACUGGGCUCGGAUUCAAAGAGCACACCCACACACCUUUAAAAAUAGCCUUUCAUCAGCGGAGGCCAUCGCCACACUGACCUGAAAAUGCAGGUUCAUGUUGUUUUCACUGUUUUUUUGUGUCGUGCAGUGAGCGGAGUCGACAGAAUUCAGUCUCUGGGCCAGUGCUCACACACGCCAGAGCUCAGCAAUACUUACUGAUUUGAGAAGAGACAGGGUCGCAUGCCGGGGUUAGUUCCUCUGCCACCCAUGGAGAACCGAGGAAGGAGAGACUUAAGCAGAGGAAGGCAGCAUCUGAAGAAUUUGGUGAGAAGCUUUUCUUCUGGUAGUCAAAAACAGCAUUCGAGGAAAUGAUCUUCAGUGACCCCGUGGGACUGGUGUCCUCCCUUAACCCUGCUGGACUCUUUUCAAAGGAGUCUUCUGGCCUUAAGCCAGGAUCAUGUACCUGUCAGGCUUUCCUGAGAUGAUGCCAAAUGUCUUGGGUAGGAUUGAUAAACAGUUCAUACUUCCUGGUUCUGAUUCUAUUCCUGGAAAAGCACCCAACUAGACUGAGAACACUCUGUGACGUAAUCAGAUUGUAGACAACAACUUGAGAGGAAGACUUCAGAAGAGAAGCAACUCCAAAGAGCAGCCACUGCGGAGAGUAGCAUGAGAAGAGGCGCUGCCCUGGAGAAGCAUUACCAAGCACUCCCUCAUUCUGAAGUGAGGCAGGAAGAAAGGCUAUGCUAUACGGUGAUAAAAGAGCCCUACACUCUGGAGUGUGUGAGGCCUCUCAACAGCUGAGAUCAAGGACUGCAGCACAGGGGGUAUUUUCUGUGAAUGUUGCUGAUGUGGGGCCCGUAUGUAUCUUAGAGAAAAAUACUUACAAAUAAAAAUGCUAAAAUACCAGUAAAUCAGGCUUCAGGCUUGGACCCAUCUGAUCUUGGACAGGACCUCACUUUCCUCCUGGAGAUUUUUCUGGGCUCUCAUAGCAAAACUGCUAACUUUUGUCCACAGCGAAGGGAAGCUACCUCGACUUUCUAUGUCCCUGGCAGGUGGCUAAGUGUGAGUCUGCCGGGGCCGCCUCAGGAGACACAUUGUGAUCUCAUUUAAGCUCCUCGCAGGCCUUUGGUGAUGAAAACUUAAGAGCCCACAGAGCUCUGUGUCCCGAUGUACAGACGGUGGAUUAGCGCUCUCCUCCAUACGCCCACACCCAUGCUGUCAGGUGUGCCUGACUCUUC